CAUCGGCGUUUUUGCAAAAAAGUCCCUGAUGUUUUAGUUAUUCAACCCGCAGUCCUUUUUAAACUGGCUAACUGAGAUAACGAUUCAUUUUUGCAAAAAUGUCCAUGUCCUUUAGUAUAUUCAACCCGCAGUCCUUCAAACAAACACAUCAGGGCAGAUCCCCUUCCUCUUCCCCACGCACGAGCGGGCGCACCGCCGCCGCCGACGCCUUCCUCGCGGAGUUUGCGGCCGAAGGAUCGGUUGGGGCGCACCGGGUCGGCCUUCGGUGGGGCGCAGUGCGAGCUCUCGGCUCGGGGCAGGAGGCGGCUCGAUGAAGAGGAGCUGGGGUGCGGCGCUCCUCUCCUGGUGUGGCGCGCGAGGGAAGGAGGAGGGGAUCGAUCCAAGACGGGAGCUGAGGCUGGCGGCGCCCUUCACACAAGCCUCACCGGCGGUGCCUUCUACACAAGCCUCACCGGCGGUGCGGCGGGAGAGCUCCGACCCGUCCAUAGGUGCAGGGAUGCAGAUCCGCGUCGCCAGCCUGUACUAGGCCGAGGUUGAUGCGCCGGCGCAGGGGUCGCCGUCCAUCUUCGCCAGGCCUCCAGAGUACUCCAGCAACAGCCACUGGACGGCAGAUAUUUUGCCGGAUGACCCACUGUAUGAGCAUGCCACAUCCUUUCUUGCUCACCCAGCACAUGGCAUUCCUUACAGUAGAGGUACCACACGGGGUGGUGACUGGGAGGCUGGGACAUGCUGGCACGGCCAAACAGCUGGUUUACUGCAAUCAGGGUGCUAGAGGCUCUUGGGGUUGCAGCCCGCUCGCCUGCUGGAGGUACAAUGUUGAUUAUUUAGAGACCUCAUCUUCAUGAGACUAGCAAGGGAUGGACAUUCUGAAGAAGAAGAGAUGAGGUGAGUUUCUGAAGUUCACCGUCCAAUCCAAGUAUUAAAGGUCCCUGCACUUCCGUUGACGAGUAUUUUGUCAGCAUCUCGAUGCGGAGGACAUUUAUUUGAAAUACUAAAUUGUGGUGUCGCUACCUCUAAGGACCACAGCGUUGUAGCGCCCUUGGCUCAAGGUGACCAUCUUCAGCGCAUCGUGGUGUCGCUGCCCACACGAUCUCUACAGACACCACAAAAGGCUACAGGACCGAGGAGGCCGGUGGCCUGACCACUGAAUCACGUUGUCGUGCGGGCGCCUUGAUCUCGCAUGCGCUGCACAGGUUAGAUUGACAUUUUGCCCUGUGUUUAAUUACUACAUGCACUGCACACUGAUCCAUGUAUAUAUUGGCUCCCCUAUAUAUACCUCUGUUGGUGAAAAGUUUUGACUUUCGAGUUUUGUCAGACGUGAGUUGCAACAAUUUUCAGUUACUUUUCUAUGCCUGCCAUUCAUCUCUGAACCGUUGUGAUGGAGAUUGUAAUACUGUGUUUAGAAUGUCAGUCCAUAUGCAAGAUCUUCUUUUCAA